AGUAAAAACUCCUGGAAAAACUGUACCUUCUACAGUAAAAACUCCUGGAAAAACUGUACCUCCUACAGUAGAAAAUCUUGUAAAAACUCAAACUUCUACAAUGAAAACUCUUGGAAAAGCUCAAACACAAACUUCUGGUCAACCUGUUAAAGAUUCAGCACUUUAUGUUCCUUUCACCGUUCCCCUUGUGCUGCUGCUAUUGAUAGGCAUCCUUGUGGUUGUAGUUUACAAGUGGAAACAUUACAAAGUAAAAGAAGAUGAAGCCACUGUGGACACAAAUGCACCCAAGGCAGAAGGUUUAGAGGAAGUGAUUGAUGCGAUGGAAAAUGAUGUAAGAAAACUAAAGUACAAAUUGUGUCAUAUCUAUAACAUGUCUCACCAUAAACUUACAGGAUAACGCAAAAAACAAACUGAUUCUUAGUUGUGUUUAAUACAAUACCGUGCAAAAGUCUCGAGUCAUUAAUAAUUUAUGUUUUAUUUAAAAAGGCCCAGACUUGUACGGUAAUUUUUUU